UUUAACCACGAGGCGUCUAUCUGGUUUAAAUGCCGGACAUGAUUUCUUUGUUUCUUGUUGUGUUCACACUUCAAUUCCCCGUUUUCAUUACCUCAUCUACUUGCAUAUGGCCCGGAUACAUAUGUGCUGUAGAACAAGCGAGGCUAGGCCAAAAGCAGCGACAAAGGGCCUCUUAACGUUUCUUUAUCAACAGUUUUUUUUUAGGGCUUGACAGACAGACAAGCACGAGAGCUGACAAACUGCCUUACGGGGCUGUAGCCUACCGUAGAGCCCUAUUACUUAGCAGAGCCGCCUGAUCGAUAAGUUCGAUCGGUUUCGAGGCCGGUUAUUGUUAGGGUCUUUACCUCACAGUCGUAGAGGUCCGUUAGCUGGUCGAUAAUCCACUCCUCCAGGUUCAGUCUCUUCCUCAGCUCCUUACGGUCGUAUUUGACGGUCACGCGUCCCUGCUUCCGAACGGGUGUCUCCGGUUCCUCCGUGGUGCCGGCCGGCGUCUGAAAAUACACCCGGGGUUGAGGGCUCGUCUCCGGGCUUGUUACAGCAGCCAUGGUCGCUCGAGUUGGGGAGCAGCAGAAGAACUAAAAAUCGCCCCCGGAGGUGUGGAAGUGUGAAAGGGGCGACGGAGAGGAGGUGAAGCGGUAUGUGGACGUGCGGCUGUUCGCUUUUCCGCACUGAGAAACCCCGACUGAUAAACGUGUGACUUGAAAUCCCCCGAAGAAAAAACAACGCUGGACCUGAUGCUUUUGUUGUCCAAAAUCGCUCAAAGGGACAUUGGCAGUGGCCGGUCGCUUCCACAAAACAAAAGUCCCCACGAGAGGUGCGUGCGCGCUCUCAGGCUGGACCCGAGCGCAUCCGACGUAACUGGGGAAAAAAAGAAAGAAGAUCAAAUGGGUUUUUUUUCCAACUUUGAUGACCAGUUCAGUCCCCCUUGUUUUAUCUGCUUCUUCUCCUACACCUCCCCACCCCCCAUUUCCUGUAACGUUCACAUGUGACCCCCCUGGAACCCACUGUUCUUCUCAUUUUAACACAACCCUCUUGGCAGGAGGAAAAGCUCUUCUGCUAGCAUCAUCAAACAUGAACCUGAAAUAAAGGCAUUUUGUCUGUGUGUUCUCACCCCACUUUAAAAUACUGCCAUUGAA